rnacentral:rRNA from 1 species
AGCAGCCGCGGUAAUUCCAGCUCCAAUAGCGUAUAUUAAAGUUGUUGCAGUUAAAAAGCUCGUAGUUGAAUUUCGGGACUAAUAUGUCGGUCGUGCCUCGGUACGUACUGGUUUAUUGGUUUCUCCUUUCUGAAGAGCCAUGAUGUCAUUUAUUUGGUGUCGUGGGGAAUCAGGACUGUUACUUUGAAAAAAAGUUAGAGUGUUUAAAGCAGGCUCACGCUUGAAUACAUUAGCAUGGAAUAAUGAAAUAGGACGUUUGAUUCUAUUUUGUUGGUUUCUAGGAUCGACGUAAUGAUUAAUAGGGAUAGUUGGGGGCGAUUAGUAUUCAAUUGUCAGAGGUGAAAUUCUUGGAUUUAUUGAAGACUAACUACUGCGAAAGCAUUUGCCAAGGAUGUUUUCAUUAAUCAAGAACGAAAGUUAGGGGUAUCGAAGACGAUCAGAUACCGUCGUAGUCUUAACCAUAAACUAUGCCGACUAGGGAUCGGAUGAUGUUAAUUUUUUCGAAUGACUCAUUCGGCGC